GACGAACGCUGGCGGCGUGCUUAACACAUGCAAGUCGAGCGAGGCCCCUCCUUCGGGAGGGUGACCUAGCGGCGAACGGGUGAGUAACACGUGGGCAAUCUGCCCCUAGCUCUGGGAUAACCCCGGGAAACCGGGGCGUAAUACUGGAUAUGACUUCGGAGGGCAUCCUCCGCGGUGGAAAGGUUUACUGGCUAGGAUGAGCCCGCGGCCUAUCAGCUUGUUGGUGGGGUAAAGGCCUACCAAGGCGACGACGGGUAGCCGGCCUGAGAGGGCGAACCGGCCACACUGGGACUGAGACACGGCCCAGACUCCUACGGGAGGCAGCAGUGGGGAAUAUUGCACAAUGGGCGAAAGCCUGAUGCAGCGACGCCGCGUGAGGGAUGAC
rnacentral:rRNA from 1 species